rnacentral:misc_RNA from 1 species
GAUGAAGAACGUAGCGAAAUGCGAUAAGUAAUGUGAAUUGCAGAAUUCAGUGAAUCAUCGAAUCUUUGAACGCACAUUGCGCCCCUUGGUAUUCCGAGGGGCAUGCCUGUUCGAGCGUCAUUACACCACUCAAGCUAUGCUUGGUAUUGGGCGUCUUCCUUAGUUGGGCGCGCCUUAAAGACCUCGGCGAGGCCACUCCGGCUUUAGGCGUAGUAGAAUUUAUUCGAACGUCUGUCAAAGGAGAGGAACUCUGCCGACUGAAACCUUUAUUUUUCUAGGUUGACCUCGGAUCAGGUAGGGAUACCCGCUGAACUUAAGCAUAUCAAUAAGCGGAGGA